rnacentral:rRNA from 1 species
UACGAAGGGGGCGAGCGUUGUUCGGAAUUAUUGGGCGUAAAGCGCGCGUAGGCGGUUACUUAAGUCGGAUGUGAAAGCCCUCGGCUUAACUGAGGAAGUGCACCCGAAACUGAGUAGCUAGAGUACGAAAGAGGGUCGCGGAAUUCCCGGUGUAGAGGUGAAAUUCGUAGAUAUCGGGAGGAACACCGGUGGCGAAGGCGGCGACCUGGGUCGAGACUGACGCUGAGGCGCGAAAGCGUGGGGAGCGAACAGG